AACCUCCACAAUGUACGAGAGUGCGAUGGGGGGAUCCCAAGUGCUAUUCUUAACGGGAUAGCUUUUCUUAAGUGUAAAAAGCUUUUGGAAUAAGAGCUGGGCAAGACCGGUGCCAGCCGCCGCGGCAACACCGGCAGCUCUAGUGGUAGCUGUUUUUAUUGGGCCUAAAGCGUUCGUAGCCGGUUUGAUAAGCCUCUGGUGAAAUCCUGUAGCUUAACUGUGGGAAUUGCUGGUGAUACUGUUGAACUUGAGGUCGGGAGAGGUUAGCGGUACUCCCAGGGUAGAGGUGAAAUUCUGUAAUCCUGGGAGGACCACCUGUGGCGAAGGCGGCUAACUGGAACGAACCUGACGGUGAGGGACGAGAGCUAGGGGCGCGAACCGGAUUAGAUACCCGGGUAGUCCUAGCCGUAAACGAUGCGGACUUGGUGUUGGGGUGGCUUUGAGCUGUUUCGGUGCCGUAGGGAAGCUGUUAAGUCCGCCGCCUGGGAAGUACGGUCGCAAGACUGAAACUUAAGGAAUU
rnacentral:rRNA from 1 species